GAACGUAUCUUUUACCACUGUUGGUGUGCUUUCUUAAAGCGUGUCAUUGAGACAUACCCCUGCGACUUGAAGUCAGGAUGUAUGUGUUAGCAUCACUACUUUCUUUUCUCCUCACAUGAAAUCCCCCAAAAAGUCGGUAAGACUGUAAUAACACAGGAAAAUUCAGCCCAUGAAGUACAGUAGACUGUUGCAGGAGCCAAGAUCAUUGCAAAGAUUUUCCAUCUUUGGACCUUUGCCCAGUAUCUUGCAGAACCUGCUCGUUCCAGUAUCUUACAGAGCCUACUUGAGGUCUUGAUUAUUUGUAACUUCUCCCUCCAUUUCUCCCACUGGGCAAAAACUUCCGCAUGUCUAAUUCUGGCUUGGAAAGGUGGUGCAGGACUCCUGCAGUUUCUGGGGAUGGACGUUAGGAGCUACUAUGGAGGGCAUUGCUGACAGCUGAGAAACCACCUCUCAUCCAUGGUGCGCUGCUGUACGUACUGACUGCCUCUAAUUCAUUUUUUUAACACAGGGGAAUGAGAAAGAGCAGUUGAAAAAUCAUCUGAGCAGUGGGGACUAUACAGGAAGUAACCUGGGGAAGAACAAAAAAAUGGGGGCUGGUGUAGGAGCAGAAAGGGACUGUCAACCAGCAAAAGCUAGGAAUAAAACAUGAAGUAGGUUAGGGUAAAGAAUGCCAACACUUGGUGCAAGGCAAAAUACAGGAAAGAUGCAGAUGGCCCUGUACAGAAUCUAGGGUAAAACCCAGGAGUUUUAAAACUUGGCAUUACAGUGCUGUUCAGCAAAAAGCUGCACACUCAAGGAUCUCACCAUUUCAUAUUUACUCUAUUCCCCCUCUAGUGGCUGAUUCCCACAGAAAAUGCAAUGCUUCUUACACCAUUUGUUCUGUUAAUGUAGUUAAUUUGUUCUGUUAAUGUGAAUCAAAAAAUCCAGAUUUGCCAUAAUCUACAUAAGAUGUAAUUUCCAAAUUUCUUUUUCUUAAGGGGGAAAUUAUGUUUAAAUCUACAAUAAACUAACACUUAGAUUAUAAAAAAAGGCUUCAGGAUUUGGGAUACGUAUUAUUAAGGUUGAUUCUUAAAGCCUUUGUUCUUUCUUUUUUUUUUUUCAUGGAAUAUUUGGUUGAUUCAUUGAACAGAGUAGUAGGGUGCCUGGAGGGAAAAAACAGGACUAUGAACAAACCAGUCCUCUGCAGACCUUCUGUCUUGCUUCUUAAAAAAAGUCAAAAACUGAUGGAUGAGGCAAGUACCAUAGAGAGACAGUAGUGGUCAGGUGGCUAGGAGAACAAAUGUUGCCACAGACCAUCAGACCCUGUUCUCCUUGCUGUUAGAGGGUUUCUGGGUGAUACUAAGUCAUUCACUGAAAUACCUGCAGAAAGCCGAAAUGAAUUUUUUGCUUUCUGGGCUCCUUCUCAAGACACAUGUGAUUUAACUUGCAGAAAUAUGCAGAACUGGUAUUUGCAACUGAGGCCAAUGAAAGCAAUGAGCUUAGACCUUCCCUCACAAGGAUCCUUUACACAAAAAAACUGUACUGUUUGUAAUUAAUAAACUAAUUUCUUAGAACAUCAUUGAACUGUAAGGAAAUUAACUGUUCUUCUGUUGGUUCACUGUUUCAGUGGUGUAUAUGGAGUAGCAUGAGAGGUCACAACUUAGGAUUACAAUAAAACUGUAUUUUGGAUCAUAGUAGUUUCAGAAUCAUAGUAAAGCAGUGAAGAAACCUGGGCCCAAACUCAGAGUGGUAUUUGGUCUUGCACUUUAAAGCUGCAUCAUGAUGUGUAUUUGUUUGAGGGGGCAAAUACAGGUUUCUAUAAAACUGUGUCAUGAUAUAUAUAUAUAUGGACCAAUUUGGGUUUUGUAGGCAACAUUGUGACAUGUUGUUUUCACAGGUUCUGAUUGUGUGACUCUUCCUAUUAUUGUGGUCACAAAUUUUUUUUAGGUGACACUUAAGAUUAGACAAUACCUGUUUAGAUACAGGCUUAGUUCUGUUGCAUUAGAUACAUGUAGUACUCUAUCUUCUAGGAUACACUAUAGAAGGUGGACAUGGCAAAGUUGCCAACAUUUUUUAUUGUUAUGUGUCAAGAAUUUCAUUUUGUGAUGAAUGCAAUCUUCUUGUUUUACCUUCAGUAUUAUGACUAUGUUUUUGUUGCCCAUUUAGGGACAGAUGGGAACCUGAGUACUGUGGCUGAGACAAACUUAUGCAGAAGUGCAGUACCAGAUCUGUAGUCAUAUGAAGAAGUUUCAUCUUAAAUACAGACAUGUCUUAAGCUGAGUAGAUUUUCUUUUAGAUCUCAGUUUUGGAUUUGGGCACUUAAAGUUUGUCUAAUCCCUUCCUUAGAUGACAAAUUAUUUUUCUGGAUCUAGCCUCUAAUAGCAAACAGAGGAAACUAGGUUUUCCAUAGUUACUUCCUUAGUGACCAGGCUGCUGUUAUCUAAAUUACAUUUUCUAUUACAGACUACAGAAACCUUAUCUCUAGCUGUUAAGGAACUGUACAGUCAAGUAAACUCCGUAAGUGAAGGAAUCUACCAUCCAAACAAGGAAGAAAAUACAGAAAUAUUGUAUGGGUCUAAUGUUUACCAUUUUCCAACUGCAUGCUACUCGUAAGAGUGCAUAAAUAUACAAUUAUUGUUAUUAAUAAUAUUGUAAAAAAAAAAUCUAAAAAUAUUUACUGGCAAGGGUUUGUUUCCACACCAGGUCAAUGAAUGUUAAAUAAUGAGAUUGAGAAAUACUAUGUCUGUUUUAAAAUUUAUAUAACUUCUAUGUACAUAAAUAUGCAUUUAGUUCUUAGGGACAAAUUAUUUUGGUCAGGGUAUUGUAAAUUUAUUGUCAUGAUAUAAAACCAUUACUAUUGGAUUGGACAAGUCAUCGAUAGUUGCUUAUCUGAAAACUGUAACUAGCCUCAGAAAUUUUGUAGUGAUAUAAGAAUUUGGCAAACUUUGCAGUUCAUCUUCAAGAAACAGGUUUUUCUCAUUUUAUUCUUGAAUUAAAUGCUUACACAUUAAUGUCCCAUCUUUUGUAGCAACAGUUGCAAUAUGAGAAAAGGAGACAGUUUCUUAGGUCCAUAACAUACGGUAUUUGAUAGGUAGUUGUAUUUGUGAGUAUGUUAGAGAGGGGUAGAAUAUUUUUCAUUUGCCUGAGAUAUUUCUUAAUGGAAAUGGAACUCAGUGUGUUCCACUGAGUAUUGAAAAACAGUUGUGGUUAUUCAGAAAUUUUUAUUUCUUCUGAGGUUCCUUUGUAUACUAAGCUUUUUGUGAGUGUUUUUUUAAUUAUACAAAAAUGACUGAGGUAAUAGCACAUGCAUAUAUACAUGAUAUUAGAAUGGGGAGAACUUGCAAGGUAUAGUAAUUAUGAGUAGUACAUUUUGAUGUACAUUCUUAUAGGACAAGUUAGAACUACAGGAUCCCUUUCACCAAGUGCUGACUGACACCCCCUUACAAUCUUUUUCAUGAGCCAUAUGUCUUAAGCUGUGUAAAGGAUGUUUGCCUUGAACGUAAUUUUUCAUAAUGGAUGGCCUGUUUUCCCACCAUCUGUAACAAAGCCCUUUUCUGUUGGAGAACCUUGAACUGAACAGUCUUGCCUUAAUCUUAGAUUGGCUGGGUCAAAACAGCUGGAUUUUGAGAAGCACAACAAAUGUUAAUUUAAUGAGAAUGGCAUGACAAAAAUAAAAAGAUAUCUUCAGUAGUCUGAAAGUAAGCUGUGACAAGCCACAUGUUGUUAACUGGCUGAAUGUGUGUAAAAGCACAUGAAAGUUUACUGAAAUUAUUACAGAACAAUCAUUUCUAUAACAAGAAGCACUCAAAUCAAAGUUUUGAAUAACAAAAAAAAAAAAAUUGGUGUUGGACAAGCUUGUUUGUUCAUGAUGCAUCUAGCCAUUACACAAUGCAUCAAUGUAUUUUUACAAAGCAAAAGAAUGCUUUCUUUGCUGAAUGCUAUCAGAUACCGGGUUUUUACUUGUACUCAUUCAUGUCUGUAAUUAUAUGGACAUUUUCUAAAAAAAGAACAAAAA